AAUUUCCAUAUCGGCUCUGAAUUGACUUCGCCACCAGGGGGCAGCAAAUCACUCUGAAGACGAGACUACACUGUACACUUUAUUGUUGUUAUUGUUUUUUCUAGUUUUUAACCUUUUAUUUGAUAGCUUCAUCAUAGAUUUGAUAACUUUAGCUUGACCACGUCACAAACAUGACAUCUUUCAGCACUUUAAAUGUCCUAAAAAGUGGCUUAUACUGCUUUGUGAUAAACUCAAUCGCUAGUCCCCUAUAGGUGACGUACAGGAAACAUUUUGGAGUAGAUAUGACCUCCCCAAAAUGGCGUCAAAUGGUACAGUCCCUAGGUGAUGUAUAGGAAACAUUUUGGAGUAGUCGGCCUGAUAUGACCUCCCCAAAAUGGCGUCAAAUGUUACAGACUGAUAGCGACUAGCUGGUGAGGAAGCAGAUGGACUUGAAGCCCGGGCCGCCUCAGCCUCAUCCUAGCUCUUUCGGAUGAUCUGACGUACCUGAGUAGUGCUGAACCAGCUGCUGUAGCGAGUCAAAUUGAGCCCUGGUGGUGAUGUAGUAGCCUCCGCUGUCCAGUUUCCGGAUCUUGUAAUGUUUGACGUGGUCGCCUUUCACAUCGUCCCAGUCUCGUAUGGACAAGGAGAAGGCACCUGGGAGCGGAGGACUUGUGUUGAUCAGUGUUGUCUGAAGUGUUGUCUGAAAACUACGUACGUGGAUUUACCCUUUGUGGUUUCACUCUCCCGUAUGAGGUAAGUACCCCGUGGGUUCCCGGUGGACAAUAACUGUCUCUCGGCCUCCUUUCGGCCCAGUUUACCAAAGUACCAGCUGUAAUUAAAGAGGGGGAACUUAUUACCCAAAACAGCAGACUUAUUAGUUGAUAAAUGCAACCUUGUCUUUGGGGAACAAAAUUUGCAAUGCGAAGAUUGCACAUUUUUUCAAGAUCCAAAUCCCCACAAGUAUGAAAGAACGAACAGAAAACCGUUAAUGUGCUCGGAGACUGCUAAUGUAACUCGAGUAACUCGUUUAAAUAGACAGUAGGAUUGCUUCAACCAUAGUAACCACGCUUGUUAUGGGGCCACAUGAUCAAAUAGCUAUGGACUAUGAGGGCUCCGAAUUAUGAGAAUUAUAUGGUGGAGUAUUGAGACACCGCUCAAUGACACAUCUGGAGUUUGAGGGCGAAGCAGAUUCAUUCGACAAAUAUUUAUCCCCUUUGGGGGGGGUGGGUCCCCAAACCCCCUAAACAAACAAAACUGUCCCUUGCUUAUAUCUCAGUGUCCCUGUGUCAGAUCAAUUUGGUUGUUUCUUGACUCUAGUCUAUAAAUAGCUAUAAUAAUAUGAACUUAAUAUGAUCUUAUCAUAUCUUAUCUGGACAUUCUUCCAUCUACAGUAGUGUAACAUUUGACAAACAUUUGAUAAACUUACGAAAAAUCUUCACACUUCAGAAAUUUAGCAUGUUAUAAAAGAACAACUAAGGGGGGUCCCCAAACCCCCCAAACAAAAACAAAAAUACCCCUUGUUUAUAUCUCAGUGUCCCUGUGUCAGAUCAAUUUGAUUGUUUCUUGACUCGAGUCCACAAAUUGAGCUCAUUAGCGGGAGAAAGGGGCCAUAGUCGUUUAUUCAACAACAGAGUUCAUAACAAAUGAUGGGCCAUUACCAAGAAGUUACGUCUUAUCCGGACAUUCUUCCAUCUAUCUGGACCGUAAACUUACGUAAAAGAUGAUCUUCACAUUUCAGAAAUUUAGCAAAGCAUGUUAUAAAAGAACAACUAAGGGGGGUCGCCAAACCCCCAAACAAAAAUUUUUAUAUCCCAGUGUCUCUGUGUCAGUUCAGUCAGUUCAACUUGGUUGUUCAGGAAUGGAGUUCCUGAGAGGUAUUCUUUAAAGUACAGAUUGUAAAAUAAACACUAGAGAAAGGUACUCUGCUCUUGGCGAUGUUUACGUUUUGAACUGUGCUCGCAGGCUGGAUUCUUUUCCUGCGAUCCCUCUUAACCAUCGCUCAAUUCUUGUUAACUUCAUGAAUCCGAGAGGAUGCUUCAUCUGAUGAAGUUAACAAUACAACAACACAUGUUGUUGUUAUAUUUGUCAUAGAAAUGACUCAGUCUCACAUUUUAUGUCUACAAAAGCACUUGACUAUGUAUGUCCAUGUUUACUAUUUCGUAAUAAGAACACAGUGGACCAGGACUUUAUGAGUUGGUCGGAUUCCACAGGGUGUCGAUUUAAACCGGGUUCCGGGUUUUUAAAACUCCCACACUCCCCCACUGUUAUGCAUUGUGUCUACUCACUCCUCAGCCUGGAUGGAAUCCACUGGAGCCACGUAAUUACUGGGAAUAUAACCACUGCCACCGGUGGUGAGCGAGCGUGCGUCCCACCAGUCCCCUUCACUGGAAAAGACACAGGUUCAAAAUAAGACCAAGAAAAGGUUGCGAUACACUUUGCUUUUUUUCAUCAACUGCCAUACUGAUUUAUACUUUGGGGUGUCUUUGGUCUCGGAGUCACACACAUUGGCUUUUUUUAAAAAUUUUUACCCCCCGCGCAUACCACAGUAUUUUCACAUUCUUCCUUGUUGUGUUGGUUUCAGGAUUUUUGCAUAGUAAUUGGAGUCUGUUGUACGUUAGGUAUUUUUACCGCAGCCCUGUGUGUUUCUCCGCCCCGAGUCCAUUUUUGUCUCAAGUCGUUACAAUUACGGUCUGACUAUGGUUAGCUAAGCUUAACAUGAAGACCAGAUGCAGAGGUGGCCGGCUUCAGAUUAAAAACAGCUUCAAUCUCAUGUUAUUGGUCAUGAAAAUAGUCACCAAAGUUAACUGAAUACUAAUGCUAAUGCUCCAAUAUGCGUAACCGAGUUACAUUCAAGAACACCAUGU